AAAUCACAUUCAUGUUGAGUUACAAACAAAUUCAGGUCCCAUGGACACUAGUACUAUAAAAUGAGUUCACAGCUGGUAGUGGCACAUUUCUGGGAAACCUCAUUUUUCCUAUUAAUACUGUUUGCUGCAUUUUUGUCCAUACGAGGUCUCUGGAGAGCCACUAGAGCUGCCAGAGUACCUUGCCAAGGAAGGUGAACGGCUGAUGAAUGCUUCAUUAUCAUCAUCAGAACUCUUGGGUCCAUGCGGUUCCGGACAAUUAACUGCGUCUUCUGUAAGUACCUUAAAUUCUUACAAAAUGGAUUACGUCGCAAUUCUAUUAGGCUUGGUCAUCUAUUGUCUAUUAAUCUCUAUAGUGAUAAUAUUAAAUGAAGCUUUCUGCAAAUCGGCUUGUUUGCGAAACACGCGUCUAGCCCUCAGCCAACGUACGGAAGACAUAGAAUUGAACGAGAGACUGCCGUCAAAGAAACUGGCAUCGAAGAAACUGGGUAGGGGACAUCCUUACAGCGAUCCAAUUUUGAAACAACCAACAAAAUUUUGAAAUAAACUAAUUUACUUAA